rnacentral:rRNA from 1 species
CCUGAACGCUGGCGGCGUGGCUAAGACAUGCAAGUCGUACGGUGUAGCAAUACACAGUGGCGAACGGGUGAGUAAUGUAUCGCUAAUGUACCCCGGACUCUGAGAUAGCUGCCCGAAAGGGCAGGUAAUACCAGAUGAUAUGACCUUAUCGCAUGAUAAGGGUCUCAAAGGUCCGCCGGUCUGGGAGCAGGCGAUAUCGUAUCAGCUAGUUGGGAGGUAAUGGCUCACCAAGGCGACGACGCGUAGCCGGACUGAGAGGUUGGCCGGCCACAUUGGGACUGAGACACUGCCCCAGACUCCGUACGGGGGCUGCAGUAACGAAUCUUCCGCAAUGCAACGAAAGUGUGACGGAGCGACGCCGCGUGU